CUUCACUGGAGUCUCUGAACCUACUUUGGCUCAGGAGGUUGCCCGAUUCAUGAAUCAUUCAUUGCUCAAUUAAACUCUGCUAAAUUUAAUUCAGCUGAACUUUUUCUUUUAACAGAUGGUAUCAGAAGUGGGAUCUGAAGUACAGCUUCUAACAACUCCCAGGAGUGCUGAGUGACCAAGCAAGGUACCCAUUGGGUUCAUUGUGUUCAUUGCUCUCUCGGAGCAGCUGGGGAUGAUGGCAGUCCUCCUACCUGCUACCAUGUGAAGAAAGACAUGUUUGGUUCCCCUUCCACCAUGAUUGUAUGUUUCCUGAGGCCUCCCCAACCAUGUGGAA
rnacentral:lncRNA from 1 species